rnacentral:rRNA from 1 species
AUUGAACGCUGGCGGCAUGCCUUACACAUGCAAGUCGAACGGCAGCACGGGUGCUUGCACCUGGUGGCGAGUGGCGAACGGGUGAGUAAUAUAUCGGAACGUACCUUAUCGUGGGGGAUAACGCAGCGAAAGCUGCGCUAAUACCGCAUACGCCCUGAGGGGGAAAGCGGGGGACCGUAAGGCCUCGCGCGAUUAGAGCGGCCGAUAUCUGAUUAGCUUGUUGGUGAGGUAAAGGCUCACCAAGGCGACGAUCAGUAGCUGGUUUGAGAGAACGACCAGCCACACUGGAACUGAGACACGGUCCAGACUCCUACGGGAGGCAGCAGUGGGGAAUUUUGGACAAUGGGGGCAACCCUGAUCCAGCCAUUCCGCGUGAGUGAAGAAGGCCUCGG